UGCCGGGUCGUCUAAUGGUAGGACAGCAGACUCUGGAUCUGCGUGCGAGGGUUCGAGUCCUUCCCCGGCAGCCA
rnacentral:tRNA from 1 species